rnacentral:rRNA from 1 species
GAUGAACGCUGGCGGCGUGCUUAACACAUGCAAGUCGAACGAAACACCUUAUUUGAUUUUCUUCGGAACUGAAGAUUUGGUGAUUGAGUGGCGGACGGGUGAGUAACGCGUGGGUAACCUGCCCUGUACAGGGGGAUAACAGUCAGAAAUGACUGCUAAUACCGCAUAAGACCACAGCACCGCAUGGUGCAGGGGUAAAAACUCCGGUGGUACAGGAUGGACCCGCGUCUGAUUAGCUGGUUGGUGAGGUAACGGCUCACCAAGGCGACGAUCAGUAGCCGGCUUGAGAGAGUGAACGGCCACAUUGGGACUGAGACACGGCCCAAACUCCUACGGGAGGCAGCAGUGGGGAAUAUUGCACAAUGGGGGAAACCCUGAUGCAGCGACGCCGCGUGAGUGAAGAAGUAUCUCGGUAUGUAAAGCUCUAUCAGCAGGGAAGAAAAUGACGGUACCUGACUAAGAAGCCCCGGCUAACUACGUGCCAGCCGCCGCAGUAAAAC